GGCCCGAUAGCUCAGUGGUAUGAGUGGCGCUUUCCGGUCCGGAAUAUGGCGCAGGUCCCGGGUUCGACCCCCGGUCGGGUCU
rnacentral:tRNA from 1 species